AGUAUUUGCUAAAUUAAUGAACAAAUGGAACUUUUUCAGAUAGCUUACAAUAAAAAUAUAAUUCAAUGACAUUUACAAAAUCUAAAUAAGAACUAGAGAACUAGGACUGGGGAAAAUCCAGACUAGGAACUGAAAUACAGAAUAUGGUUUAACUUUAUGAACUAUUUACUCCCUAAGGAAAAUAGACCAGAUGACCUUUCCAAGAGUUGACUAUCCAAACUUGACAUCUGUGAGGAUCUCUGAAGGGCCAAGAAACCUAGCUUCUAAUAUCGCCUUGAUCCCUAACUAACUUGUAUUUUCAAUCAAGUCCUUUAACUUCUCUAGGCAUCACUUUCCUCCUCUGUAAAAUAAGAAGAUUGGAUUAGAUGGUCUUUAGAAUCCCUCCUAAUCUCUAGUAGCCUUAGUACACAAUAAGGAAAGAAAUAAGCACAUGAGCCAAGUUCUCCUCACAUCCCCCCAGCACCUCCUCUCACCCCAACUCUCCCUUCCUUAUGCAUCGGCCUCACAAUACUAGUCCACUCCUAAUUUUAGAUUUGAACCUUAUGACCAUUUCCCCAUGCUCUGUUUACUGGGUUGUUUAUUCUUUUACAGUACAUUGAUUUUUCAGUUUUGGCUUUUGAGGGAGCUUGCUCAAUAGGAAUCCAAAAGUGCUUUUGCUUAUACCACUUCUGAGAAUUAAAAACAGACAUGAUGUAAGUAUCAAUGUUGACUAUUUCAGAAAAAAAAGAAACAUCCAAAUAGUGAAAAGUUAAAAUUAAAUUUGAUCUUUUUAUUUUUUAUUUUUUUGAGAUGGAAUCUCACUGUGUCGCCUAGGCUGGAGUGCAGUGGCGUGAUCUUGAUUCACUGCAAUGUCCACCUCCCGGGUCCAAGCAAUUCUCCUGCCUCAGCCUCCCAAGUUGGCUGUGAUUACAGCACUCUUCUUUCUGGGAGGAAACUAGACUGCUUUAGAAAUCACUGCAGGAAUCACAGAGUAAAAUGGAGAAGAACCCAGGGAUGUGUCAUAACACAGUAGUCUGAAAAAGGGCCAGGUAGAAGAGUGGGAAGGACUAUGCCUCUGGCAAGUGCAAGUUCAUAAAUUCCAGUUUCUUCAAGUUACGAGGCACAUCUGCAUCCCCAGAUGAUGGCUACUGGUCAGAACACUGAACUCAUACCAAAAGCUGCUGUUGUUGACAGUUUAAUGUCUAUGGAUCUGACUCGGAGAGAAAUGUGCCACUUACUGAAUCACCAACACCAUAUCUUUGGUGUUGAGGUGGGGCACGCUUACUUUUUCAUCUGAAGAUUGACACAGCCCACCAAGAACAUUUGAAAGAGACAGGAUUGCUGCUGAAAAGGCAUGACAUCAAGCCACACAAAUUGGAUGGUAAGACUAGAGAUUAACUUGUGAACAGGUCGUAUGACGAGAGCUGAAACGUACAACUGGAUCUUGGUCAUGCCAUUCCUCAAAGGAGACUAAGAAAUCCUGAAUUUUUAAUUUAUGCUUAAUAGCCAUGGCUUUGUCUCUACAGAGUGUUUGUGAUACAUUUCUAAGCAUUGGUAAAUUAAUUCUUACUGCACCAACUUGGUGGAAAUCUGUUCCAUCAGAAAGAGUUAAUACAUCCAAAGAGAUAGAAACACAUUUAAGACUAACUUUCACAAGUUCCUGCUUAGCUAAGAAUGAAACUAGAAAACUUUAUUUUGAGUAUUUUACAUUUCUGAUGGUACAGAAUCAACAGUUUGGGAAGCUUAAUACCUAUUUGCCAAGAGAAAAAGUCAGAAUUCUCUUUUCAGGUCUACAUUCUUUUAACUUGUCUCAUCUUUUUAUGUACCCUAGUAGUUUCAGAGAUACACUUGAAGAUAGAGCAAUUUCUGUUUUCAUCACUUUUAACAACAAUGGGUCUUUUUAUCAUUGUCAAUGAAUCAAUAUUCAGCCAGUGCUCCUGAGGAGAUGAAAAAUUCCACCGGCAAUUAUCUUACAGAGUCACCAUGAUUACUAGGUUAUAUGGUUUGGCUGUGCCCCCACCCAAAUCUCAUCUUGAAUUCCCAUGUGUUGCGGGAGGGACCCAGUGGGAGGUAACUGAAUCAUGGAGACAAGUCUUUCUUGUGCUGUUCUUAUGAUAGUGAAUAAGUCUCAUGAGAUCUUAUGGUUUUAUAAAGAAGAGUCCCCCUGCACAAGCUCUCUCUCUCUUUGCCUGCUGCCAUCUAUUUAAGAUGUGACUUGCUCUUCCUUGCCUUCCGCCGUGAUUGUGAGGCUUCCCCAGCCAUGUGGAACUGUAAGUCCAAUUAAACCUCUUCUUUUGUAAA